rnacentral:rRNA from 1 species
AACGAACGCUGGCGGCAUGCCUAACACAUGCAAGUCGAACGAGACCUUCGGGUCUAGUGGCGCACGGGUGCGUAACGCGUGGGAACCUGCCCUUGGGUUCGGAAUAACUCCCCGAAAGGGGUGCUAAUACCGGAUAAUGUCUUCGGACCAAAGAUUUAUCGCCUUUGGAUGGGCCCGCGUUGGAUUAGCUAGUUGGUAGGGUAAAAGCCUACCAAGGCGACGAUCCAUAGCUGGUCUGAGAGGAUGAUCAGCCACAUUGGGACUGAGACACGGCCCAGACUCCUACGGGAGGCAGCAGUGGGGAAUAUUGGACAAUGGGCGAAAGCCUGAUCCAGCAAUGCCGCGUGAGUGAUGAAGGCCUUAGGGUUGUAAAGCUCUUUUACCCGGGAUGAUAAUGACAGUACCGGGAGAAUAAGCUCCGGCUAACUCCGUG